rnacentral:rRNA from 1 species
CCUACGGGAGGCAGCAGUGGGGAAUAUUGGACAAUGGGCGAAAGCCUGAUCCAGCAAUGCCGCGUGAGUGAUGAAGGCCUUCGGGUCGUAAAGCUCUUUUACCAGGGAUGAUAAUGACAGUACCUGGAGAAUAAGCUCCGGCUAACUCCGUGCCAGCAGCCGCGGUAAUACGGAGGGAGCUAGCGUUGUUCGGAAUUACUGGGCGUAAAGAGUACGUAGGCGGUUAUUCAAGUCAGAGGUGAAAGCCCGGGGCUCAACCCCGGAACUGCCUUUGAAACUAGAUAACUAGAGUCUUGGAGAGGUUAGUGGAAUUCCGAGUGUAGAGGUGAAAUUCGUAGAUAUUCGGAAGAACACCAGUGGCGAAGGCGACUAACUGGACAAGUACUGACGCUGAGGUACGAAAGCGUGGGGAGCAAACAGGAUUAGAUACCCUGGUAGUCCACGCCGUAAACGAUGAUAACUAGUUGUUCGGUCACUUGGUGACUGAGUGACGCAGCUAACGCAUUAAGUUAUCCGCCUGGGGAGUACGGUCGCAAGAUUAAAACUCAAAAGUGAAGUAGACGGCGUGUAGACGUUGCCGAACGGACGACGAACGAGGGGAGGUUAGG